GGCCGCGGUACUCUGACCGUGCAAAGGUAGCAUAAUCAUUUGCCUUAUAAUUGAAGGCUAGUAUGAAUGGUUUGACGAGAGCAACACUGUCUCCUUACUACUUUUUAGAACUUAACUUUUAGGUGAAGAGGCCUAAAUUUUAUUGAAGGACAAGAAGACCCCGUCGAGCUUAAAAGACAUAAUAGAAGUCAAUAUAAUUUUAAAUAAAUAUUCUAUUAAGCUUUUUAGUUGGGGCGACUAAGGAACAAAAGAAGCUUCUUAAUUAAUAGCAUACAGUCAUGUAAAGAUCCGAUAUAAUCGAUCAAGGAAAUUAGUUACCGCGGGGAUAACAGCAUAAUCUCUCUUAAGAGACCUAAUCGAAAGAGGGGGUUGUGACCUCGAUGUUGGACUAGAAUAUCCUAAAGAUGCAGAAGUCUUUGA
rnacentral:rRNA from 2 species